GACGAACGCUGGCGGCGUGGAUUAGGCAUGCAAGUCGAACGGUAGGAGUACCUUCGGGUAUCUGAGAGUGGCGAACGGGUGAGUAACACGUAGGUGAUCUACCCUCAAGAUUGGGACAACCCAGGGAAACUUGGGCUAAUACCGGAUGAAAGCAGCAGUGAUGUUGUUUGAAAGGUGGCGUAAGCUGCCGUUUGGGGAUGAGCCUGCGCUCUAUUAGUUAGUUGGCGGGGUAAAGGCCCACCAAGGCGAUGAUAGAUAGGCGGCCUUAACGGGUGGUCGCCCACACUGGGAUUGAGAUACGGCCCAGACUCCUACGGGAGGCAGCAGUCGAGAAUAGUCUACAAUGGCCGAAAGGCUGAUAGUGCGACGCCGCGUGAACGAAGAAGCCCUUCGGGGUGUAAAGUUCUUUUAUAUGUGAGCAGUGCUUUCUAUGUGAACAGCAUGGGGAGAGAGAUAUUAGCAUAUGAAUAAGCAACGGCUAACUCCGUG
rnacentral:rRNA from 1 species